rnacentral:lncRNA from 1 species
GACGGCUUUCCUGGAAGCUGUGACCUUUAUCCUCCUGCAGCCGUUAAUCUAAUAUUAAGGCCCUUAACCUUCUUGAUCGCUCUUUCAGCAUCGCUGGUUUCAUAUGAACCCCCCAGGCCUUCCCAUAACGCAGCCCCAGCCAGGGGUGCCCUCCCCGCCCGGGCCUCCCUGCGGCCUGGGGGAGGCUUCCUCCCUUGGCCCUUCCCUCAGGUGCGGGAGGGCACAGCCACCGCAGGCAGCCUCGGGGGACUCCUGUGGCUUCUCUGUCAGCUUUGUUUUCCUUCUCUCCUGAGGAAAACCCGUGGAUGCCGUUUCUGGGGAAAAGACGAAGGCUCUGGCCCGGAGGCCGGAGGCCCAGCCGGGAGCCGCCUGUGUGCCCAUCUCGGGGACCCCGCUGCGCCCUGUGGUGGGGACAGGCGAGGGAGCUGCCUGCCACCUCCAGAAUGGCCAGCUCAGAAAGAGCUGUCACCCCCUGUGACGGGCCACCCGGCCCGCCUCUGUGUCCUGGCCUCUCCCCUCAGCGAUGUGGCUGUUUUUGAAGAGAGCCCUGGGCCCUGGUCUGGGCAGAGCGACCAAGCACCUGAACAUUCACUUUCCGAACCCUUAUUUCGCGGAGAGCGGAGGCCCUGCCUCGAGGGGGGGCUGCAGAGUUCACCCAGAAGUAGAAGAGGUGAGGCCUGGAGACAGGGGCUUCCCACAGCCUCAGCCCAGCCACGCUGGGCAGGACAAGGACGGCCAAGAUUGCUCCCUCGCACAGUACUGGGGUGGCCAGGCUGGGGCAAAGAGGGGGUGGCAGCAGCUUCUUCAAAGUCUGUUCCCACCAGAGGCCCCUCUUCCCAGGGAGUAUGGACCCACGCCAGCUCCGCGCCGGCCCUCCUGCCCUCCUGCCCUCCUGCCCCGGGGGGCUCCAGGCUUGGUGUUGGUUUUGGGCUUUGGCCCGAUGAGGACACCCCCCCAGCACCUCCUCAGACCUUAGGCUGUGAAAAGGCAAGCCCCCCACAUGUCCGGGUCUCCUCUCCCACGGGGCACAUGCACACAGCUCACACCCGGAUGGCUUCUCUGCUUUGUCACGCUUUCCAGGCACAGCUCCCUUUGCACGAGUGA